CGCUCUCGUAUUUCAUAAAAUAAAGAGUCGGACCUGCCCUGUGAGUUAUGUUUAACGGCCGCAGUACCCUGACGGUGCUAAGGUAGCAUAAUCAUUUGCCUUUUAAUUGGAGGCUAGAAUGAAUGGUUUGACGUGAACUUAGCUGUCUCUUCUAUAUUAUAUGGAAAUUAUUUUUUAGGUGAAGAACCCUAGAUUGUUCUGAAAGACGAAAAGACCCUAUCGAGCUUUAGAUUGAAUUAGAAAUGAUAAAGAUUGUUGGAUAAUUAAUUUUGUAAGAGAUUUUUUGUUGGGGUGACAGAAGAACAAAUAAAGCUUCUUUUAUUUUUUAAAACUUAUUAGUUAAUUGGGUCUGUAAUAUUACAGUGUUUAGAUUAGUUACCGUAGGGAUAACAGCGUAAUCUUUCUGGAGAGUUCUUAUUGAAAGAAGGGAUUACGACCUCGAUGUUGGAUUAAAGAACCGAAAGAGUGCAGUAGUUUUUUGUCGGAGGUCUGUUCGACCUUUAAAUCUUUACA
rnacentral:rRNA from 1 species